CCGUGGGGUGACAUCGGAGUUCAUUA
rnacentral:rRNA from 1 species